rnacentral:rRNA from 1 species
UACGGGGGGGGCAAGCGUUGUUCGGAAUUACUGGGCGUAAAGGGCGCGUAGGCGGUUCGCUAAGUUGGAUGUGAAAACUCUGGGCUCAACCCAGAGCCUGCAUCCAAAACUGGCGGGCUAGAGUUCUGGAGGGGGUAGCGGAAUUCCUGGUGUAGCGGUGAAAUGCGUAGAUAUCGGGAGGAACACCAGUGGCGAAGGCGACUACCUGGCCUGUUCUUGACGCUGAGGCGCGAAAGCUAGGGGAGCAAACGGG